UGCUUGCAUUUACAUGUUAUUUAUGAGUUUAUUUUACUUCUGAUUUGACCAGUGGCACACACAGGCCAGUGGGCACAGCAGAUGAGCAAUGAGGAACCCAUCCAUGAGAGGUGUGGGAGCAAGGAAUAAGGCGUAGAUAUCCUUGCCCUCGUCUUCUAUGAUCUUAAUCACCUUGGAACACAUUUCUCCAUGAAACUCCAUGAAUUUCCCCCCAGUUCCUCCUCAGUAUAAAGGUUCCUAAAUACAAUUGUAAAAGGAUGGUUCAUUUAGGAUGUGGCACCCCAGCUAUGGAAUGCUCUCCCGAGGAUACUUGUCUGGCAGCCACAUUGCUUUCCUUUAAAUGCCAGAGUUUUGACCACUACUGGCUUCUUCUGCUACUACUGGUUCCAACAGUUGUGAUGCUUCAGCCACCUGAGACAUAAGAUAACUCACAAUCACUGUCCAGAGCAGCCAAAGGCAUCGGAGCUCUCAGAACUACCAGCUGAACAGAAACAGACAAAGGCAGCCUUUCCACUCUUCCCCACUCCAGCACUGUGGAUAGCAGCAUUUCUAUACCACCCAUCCCAGCGCUGGAAACACUGAAGUGGAGUGGGAAACUCACUCUUUCAAGGAUUCUUCUGUGAAGAGUAAACAAGAAGCAUUUCUCCCCUCUCCACUCCAGUGCUAGAGUGGGGAGGAGACACACACUGUCCCAUAGUGCAGCAGCAUCUUCCAGUGGACCAAGUAGCUUUAAUUGUGGCUUGCCAGUGGUUUGUGAAUUCAGAUGCAAUGGCAGCCUACAGCUAAUGCUGUGAUUUGCAAACCAGCCUCAAACCAUGGCUGGAUUUCUUGGUUUGGUAUCCCCUCUCAAACCAAGGUUUGUGAGCUGACAUAGAUUUAGAUAUAAAAACAAACUAUGGUUUGGCUUUAUAAACCAUAGUUUGGUGUGACACCUGAAUGCAACCAUUCUGUCCCCAGUUGUUUUAUAUUAAGUGAAGACGGAGAUAUAUUUAUUGGCCUGGAUUAGUUUUGGAAGCGGAGACCCUAACCAUACACUUUCUGCUUGUUUGCGGAAGGUUUCUGCUUGGUAUGAUGGAAAGGAAGAAUGAAGAAGGUGCCAAUACCAUGUUAGAACCAGUGUGACCCGGGCAUGCUUCAAAAUAGUAACAGAAUUCAUAUUUCUUUUUGCAAGUUUUUCAUUCUUCCAAUUUUAAAUUCAGUUCUCCACAUUUCUGCAGCAAUUUGCUAUUUUUUUUAAAAAAACCCAUCAAUAUUCUUCAGCAUUUUCGUGUCAAUCAAUUUUCACUAAUGCACACAUUUUUGCAAGUAAUUUAUCCCAAUAUAAUGCAUUUUGUAAGUUAUUUUCAUUAAUAUGUUUGUUUUUAUCCACAGUUUACUCUAAUAUUUGCAUUAUUGUAAACAUUCUUUGGUUAGAGGACUGCAUCACAAAACUCAGACAUGGGCAAACUUCAAAGGAUAGCUGUGUUGGGUUCUCAUAUUGUUUUUUGGAAAAUGUGAAUUUGAUGGAUCCCUACCUGUGGCCUCAAAAUAAUUCUCCAUCUUCCACUAGAUGCAAGCUUUUAUCUAAAUUCCACUGGAAUUUAUGGGAAUGCUAAUACUGGUUUCAUUAGGCAUAUGUUUCCAAGCUUACAUUGAGCCACUUUAAUGUAAUUAAGGAUAGCAGAAGAGAAAAAGCAAACACCACUGGAAACAAUUCACCUUACAAAGGAGGAUUGACUU